GGUGCUAAUCCUAGAAAAUUCUUCGUAGUCCGGAUUGGAGUCUGCAACUCGACUCCAUGAAGUCGGAAUCGCUAGUAAUCGCGAGUCAGCAUGUCGCGGUGAAUACGUUCUCGGGUCUUGUACACACCGCCCGUCACACCAUGGAAGUGGAUUGCACCAGAAGUAGAUAGUCUAACCUUCGGGAGGGCGUUUACCACGGUGUGCUUCAUGACUGGGGUGAAGUCGUAACAAGGUAGCCGUAGGGGGAACCUGUGGCUGNGAUCACCUCCUU
rnacentral:rRNA from 1 species